UACGGGGGGGGUAAGCGUUGUUCGGAAUUACUGGGCGUAAAGGGUCUGUAGGUGGCUUGCUAAGUCAGACGUGAAAUCCCUCAGCUUAACUGGGGAACUGCGUCUGAGACUGGCGAGCUUGAGUGCAGGAGAGGAACGCGGAAUUCCAGGUGUAGCGGUGAAAUGCGUAGAUAUCGGGAGGAACACCAGUGGCGAAGGCGGCGAUCUGGGAAGAUACUGACGCUGAGACGCGAAAGCGUGGGGAGCAAACAGG
rnacentral:rRNA from 1 species